ensembl:lncRNA novel transcript
GGCUAAAGAACUUCCCUUGCACUCCCGAAAGCCUGUGUGAUGUGCUAUCUAUGGAUUUCCCUUUUGAGGUAGAUGGACUUCUCUUCUACCACAAACAGACCCACUACAGCCCCGGAAGCACUCCCUUGGUGGGCUGGCUGCGCCCCUACAUGGUGUCAGAUGUCCUUGGUGUAGCUGUGCCGGCUGGCCCGCUGACCACCAAGCCAGACUAUGCUGGGCACCAGCUCCAGCAGAUUAUGGAGCACAAGAAGAGCCAGAAGGAAGGCAUGAAGGAGAAACUCACACACAAGGCCUCUGAGAAUGGGCACUAUGAAUUGGAGCACCUGUCUACUCCCAAGUUGAAGGGUUCUUCCCAUAGCCCAGACCACCCUGGAUGCCUCAUGGAGAAUUAAAGAGAGAAGCCUCCUUAAGGAGCCACAGGAUGGUACCUGGCCCCAAAAGGAAUCCUGGAGAGGAGGACAGUGACAACAGGCUACCAAGCAGUUUCUCGAAGAGAUUAACAAGUGGACAGUUCAGUACAAUGUUUCCCCGCUGUCUUGGAAUGUGGCUGUCAAGUUCCUCAUGGCAAGGAAGUUUGAUGUGC